rnacentral:SRP_RNA from 1 species
ACGGGGACUAGCCCGGGUGGCCCGGCGUCACCUGUGACCCGAAACCGUCGGUAUGCGGGGGGCGAAGUUCGAAGAAGGCGGAACCGGGCUGCCUCCGAACGGUACAGGCCGACGUUGAAACCUCGUCCCAUGAGGUCGGUGGACAGGAACCAGGACCCCGGAGGGGGUCUGUGGCCUGCUGUCGCGGGGACCGGUCCAGGCCCGGAAGGGAGCAGACUCACCGUGAACAUUCGGCGCCCAUGGGGGUGCGGGGUGGAGGAGGGCUGUGCCGGGAAGGGGCAGUUUCGGGCCGUCGACCGAGAACGUGUCCCCAC